GGCUCAGGACGAACGCUGGCGGCGUGCCUAAUACAUGCAAGUCGAACGGUCUUUUCUAUGGAAGCUUGCUUCCACUGAAAAGAUAGUGGCGAACGGGUGAGUAACACGUGGGUAACCUGCCCAUAAGAGGGGGGAUAACAUCCGGAAACGGGUGCUAAUACCGCAUAGUUUUCUUGAUCGCAUGAUCGGGAAAGGAAAGACGGCCUUUGUGCUGUCGCUUAUGGAUGGACCCGCGGCGUAUUAGUUAGUUGGUGAGGUAACGGCUCACCAAGACGAUGAUACGUAGCCGACCUGAGAGGGUGAUCGGCCACAUUGGGACUGAGACACGGCCCAAACUCCUACGGGAGGCAGCAGUAGGGAAUCUUCCGCAAUGGACGAAAGUCUGACGGAGCAACGCCGCGUGAGUGAAGAAAGGUUUUCGGAUCGUAAAACUCUGUUGUCAGAGAAGAACAAGUUGGAGAGUAACUGCUCCAGCCUUGACGGUAUCUGACCAGAAAGCCACGGCUAACUACGUGCCAGCCGCAGC
rnacentral:rRNA from 1 species